GAGGUUCCUGCAUCUUUCCCCAAGUCCUGUAGUGCCUCAGUAAGAGGUUGGUGGUGGCUGGUGGGCUUCAAGGUUGAUCCUUGCUUGUAGCAUCCUCUGAGGCUGGGCAUAUUGUGCACCUUUGUGAGAUCAGCAGAGUGCACUUUGUAGACUGCUAUGUAAGUAAAAAUGAUUUGGAGGACAUAACCUUCCUGUGGGAAAUGGACGGAUUAUGUUGCCUGUUUGAUUGGCUUUUUAUCUGGAGCCCACAGUGAGAUGCUUCUCCAUUCCUCAUAUUCCUGGCCACCAUGUUCCAUCAGUGAAGGAAAGAAAACACCUGACAAAGGAAGGCAUGCUUCAAUUGUACCUUAGUUUUGUGGUCUCUAACCUUCAUCUGUUCUGUGAUUGUAAAGAUUUGGGGACAAGGAAUUCUUGGGGAGAGUAAAUCUUCUCUUUUCUUUUUCUAAGCUGG
rnacentral:lncRNA from 12 species